rnacentral:rRNA from 1 species
UUCGGAAUCACUGGGCUUAAAGAGCACGUAGGCGGACUGCCAAGCGUCUUGUGAAAUCCCCCGGCUCAACCCGGGGAAUUGCUGGGCGAACUGGUAGUCUUGAGGCAAGUAGGGNCAGAUGGAACUCUUGGUGGANCGGUGGAAUGCGUAGAUAUCAAGAGGAACGCCAGAGGCGAAGGCGAUCUGCUGGGCUUGACCUGACGCUGAGGUGCGAAAGCCAGGGGAGCAAACGGGAUUAGAUACCCCGGUAGUCCUGGCCAUAAACGAUGUCCACUAGAUCGGUGAACUUCUGACAGUGUGCCGGUCGAAACAAAAGCGUUAAGUGGACCGCCUGGGGAGUACGGUCGCAAGGCUAAAACUCAAAGGAAUUGACGGGGGCUCACACAAGCGGUGGAGCAUGUUGCUUAAUUCGAUGCAACGCGAAGAACCUUAUCCUGGGCUUGACUUGCUUGGAUGCCCAUCUGGAAACAGAGUAGGCUGCCCUUCGGGGUGAAACUUGCACAGGUGCUGCAUGGCUGUCGUCAGCUCGUGUCGUGAGAUGUUGGGUUAAGUCCCGUAACGAGCGAAACCCUUGUCGUUAGUUGCCAGCGCGUAAUGGCGGGGACUCUAGCGAGACUGCCGGUGUUAAACCGGAGGAAGGUGGGGAUGACGUCAAGUCCUCAUGGCCUUUAUGCCCAGGGCUGCAAACGUGCUACAAUGGCGAGGACAAACCGACGCAAAGCCGCGAGGUCGAGCAAAUCGGAGAAACCUUGCCCCAGUUCGGAUUGGAGUCUGCAACUCGACUCCAUGAAGUCGGAAUCGCUAGUAAUCGCGUAUCAGCGUGACGCGGUGAAUAUGUUCCUGAGCCUUGUACACACCGCCCGUCAAGUCAUGGAAGCUGGGAGCGCCCGAAGUCGGGGUAAUUCAACCCUGCCUAAGGUGAGCUCGGUGACUGGGACUAAGUCGUA